CCUACACCAGUAGUUUGCCAGAGGCCCUUGGACCUUUGGUCAAAGGCUGAAGGCUGCACUGUUGGCUUCGCUACUUUUGAAGUUUUGGGACUUCAACUGGCUUCCUUGCUUCUCAGCUUGCAGAUGGCCUAUUGUGGAAUUUCACCUUAUGAUCGUAUGUGACGAAGGAGUUUCCUGUCAACUCUAUUCUGCCCAUAAUCUUCAUUUCUUAAACGAAGAAGGAAAAGAAAAGCUGGAGUGAAAAGUUUUGAAAGAGAAAAAAUUGAUCUCUGUAAUAAUUUUCAAGAAUUUUUACUGCAACUAAAAUUCAGUGUUUAGUUUAUGAAGAAAAAAAUGAAUGGCUAUAGUACAUACAUUUCCAUGGU
rnacentral:lncRNA from 10 species